rnacentral:rRNA from 1 species
AUACGGAGGGGGCUAGCGUUGUUCGGAAUUACUGGGCGUAAAGCGCGCGUAGGCGGAUGAUCAAGUUGGGGGUGAAAGCCCGAGGCUCAACCUCGGAACUGCCUUUGAUACUGCAAGUCUGGAGUCCGGAAGAGGUGGGUGGAAUUCCUAGUGUAGAGGUGAAAUUCGUAGAUAUUAGGAAGAACACCGGUGGCGAAGGCGGCCCACUGGUCCGGUACUGACGCUGAGGUGCGAAAGCGUGGGGAGCAAACAGGAUUAGAAACCCCAGUAGUCC